UACGUAGGGGGCAAGCGUUGUCCGGAUUUAUUGGGCGUAAAGAGCGUGUAGGCGGCCAUGUAGGUCCGUUGUGAAAACUGGAGGCUUAACCUCCAGACGUCGAUGGAAACCGUAUGGCUAGAGUCCGGAAGAGGAGAGUGGAAUUCCUGGUGUAGCGGUGAAAUGCGCAGAUAUCAGGAAGAACACCCGUGGCGAAGGCGGCUCUCUGGGACGGUACUGACGCUGAGACGCGAAAGCGUGGGGAGCGAACAGG
rnacentral:rRNA from 1 species